GAUGAAGAACGUAGCGAAAUGCGAUAAGUAAUGUGAAUUGCAGAAUUCAGUGAAUCAUCGAAUCUUUGAACGCACAUUGCGCCCGCUAGUAUUCUGGCGGGCAUGCCUGUCCGAGCGUCAUUUCAACCCUCAAGCCCCCGGGCUUGGUGUUGGGGAUCGGCGAGCCUCCGCGCCCGCCGUCCCCUAAAUCUAGUGGCGGUCUCGCUGCAGCUUCCUCUGCGUAGUAGCACACCUCGCACUGGGAAACAGCGCGGCCACGCCGUUAAACCCCCAACUUCUGAACGUUUGACCUCGAAUCAGGUAGGAAUACCCGCUGAACUUAAGCAUAUCAAUAAGCGGAGGA
rnacentral:misc_RNA from 1 species